rnacentral:rRNA from 1 species
CACGGGGGGAGCAAGCGUUGUUCGGAAUCACUGGGCGUAAAGGGCGUGUAGGCGGUUCAGUAAGUGGAAUGUGAAAUGCCCCGGCUUACCCGGGGACCUGCAUCCCAAACUGCUGGACUUGAGUACGGGAGAGGAUGAGGGAAUUCCUGGUGUAGCGGUGAAAUGCGUAGAUAUCAGGAGGAACACCGGUGGCGAAGGCGCUCAUCUGGCCCGAUACUGACGCUGAUGCGCGAAAGCUAGGGGAGCGAACGGG